rnacentral:tRNA from 1 species
GCAUUAAUGGGGUAAUGGCAACCCAGGUCAUUGCCAUUGUAUGUGCUUCAUCAAAUGAGCUUGACCUGAUGGGGGUUCAAUUCCCUCUUAAUGCA